AGCGAACGCUGGCGGCAUGCUUUACACAUGCAAGUCGAACGGUAACAGGCCGCAAGGUGCUGACGAGUGGCGAACGGGUGAGUAAUGCAUCGGAACGUGCCCAGUCGUGGGGGAUAACGCAGCGAAAGCUGCGCUAAUACCGCAUACGAUCUAAGGAUGAAAGCGGGGGACCGUAAGGCCUCGCGCGAUUGGAGCGGCCGAUGUCAGAUUAGGUAGUUGGGGGGGUAAAGGCUCACCAAGCCGACGAUCUGUAGCUGGUCUGAGAGGACGACCAGCCACACGGGGACUGAGACACGGCCCAGACUCGUACGGGAGGCAGCAGUGGGGAAUUUUGGGCAAUGGACGCAAGCCUGAUCCAGCAAUGCCGCGUGCAGGAAGAAGGCCUUCGGGUUGUAAACUGCUUUUGUACGGAACGAAAAGGCUCUGGUUAAUACCUAGGGCUCAUGACGGUACCGUAAGAAUAAGCACCGGCUAACUACGUGCCAGCCGCCGCAGUAAAAC
rnacentral:rRNA from 1 species